CCUACGGGAGGCUGCAGUGGGGAAUCUUGCACAAUGGGGGAAACCCUGAUGCAGCGAUGCCGCGUGAGUGAAGAAGGCCUUUGGGUUGUAAAACUCUUUCGUCGGGGAAGAAAAUGACUGUACCCGAAUAAGAAGGUCCGGCUAACUUCGUGCCAGCAGCCGCGGUAAUACGAAGGGACCUAGCGUAGUUCGGAAUUACUGGGCUUAAAGAGUUCGUAGGUGGUUGAAAAAGUUGGUGGUGAAAUCCCAGAGCUUAACUCUGGAACUGCCAUCAAAACUUUUCAGCUAGAGUUUGAUAGAGGAAAGCAGAAUUUCUAGUGUAGAGGUGAAAUUCGUAGAUAUUGGAAAGAACACCGAUGGCGAAGGCACUUUACUGGGCUAUUACUGACACUCAGAGACGAAAGCUAGGGUAGCAAAUGGGAUUAGAUACCCUUGUAGUC
rnacentral:rRNA from 1 species